AAAAGAAGAAAAAACCCACAAAGCCCUCAGCUUUUAUACAUCCACGAGACGGUGGGAAGACAAUAGAUUUAGCCGUUAGUUUCUUUCCAUUGUCCAAUUUGAAUAGAGAGAGACUUCCGGUGAAAUUCCUAGUUAAUCCUCACUUGUGUCGGUAUGAUCUUUGCCCUCCAUUUUGCUCAAUCGGUGUACCUCUGUUGCAAAAAAUUGCCUCUCGAUUAAUUGUUUUCAAUGCUAGCGGUGAUUUCUAAUCUAAGCCGAGGUCGUGAGAAUCAGACGUGUUCGGGCACGAAAUCAUUUGUCUGCUCGAAUUAAAGAUUGAUGGUCCUCAGCUAUCCUGCAGUGAGAAGUACCUCAAAGAUUUCUCACGACAAGGCAGACCUACUACGAUCGUGGUUCUGCAAGGCCUCUGCGGGUCAUAUGAAUAUUCAGACUAUCCGCACCCUUCAAUGAGAACGGAUUCUGUAUGGACUAUUUUGAAACUUUCUUUGUGAUCCUACCAGAUCCCAUCGUCUUCACUUCCUUCAACCGAAAGUCCAUGGCUCUUCCUCUCUUGUUUUCCUCUUCUUUUUCCCAUCAUGUAGCAGCUGAAAUGGACAAUAGCAGUUGAAGCAAGGGAUGUCAGUAGAAAUUCAAGUAAUAAGCAAGAGUAGCAGCCUGCACAAUACAUAAGCCAUGUUUAGCUUUUCCUUGAAUAUCGGCCGCUGUCCAGAAUUUAUAUUUUGGGUGUGUAACCAAGUGGAGGGAAGGUAGAAACAUGCAUAAUUCGUGCAAUCUACUGCUUGAAGAGGUUGUUAAGAGAUGAAGUUAUCUCAAAGUUAUAAAAUUACAGGUUUGAUAUAUACCAUUUAUUGCUUUUAUCCAAUAGAUGUGUAUUUUUAUAAAAAUAAGAUACAUGUUGUAAAAAUAUUUGUAUUGUUUUUCGCAUUCUCUAUUACUACCAG